AUUGGGCGUAAAGCGCCUGUAGGUUGUUUAAUAAGUCUGUUGUUAAAGACUAGGGCUUAACCCUAGGAAAGCAAUGGAAACUACUAGACUUGAGUAUGAUAGGGGUAGAGGGAAUUUCUAGUGUAGCGGUGAAAUGCGUAGAUAUUAGAAAGAACACCGGCGGCGAAGGCGCUCUACUGGAUCAUUACUGACACUCAGAGGCGAAAGCUAGGGUAGCAAAAGGGAUUAGAUACCCCUGUAGUCCUAGCCGUAAACGAUGGAUACUACAUGUUGCGUUUUUAAUGCAGUGUGGUAGCUAACGCGUUAAGUAUCCCGCCUGGGGAGUACGGUCGCAAGGCUGAAACUCUAAGGAAUUGACGGGGGCCCGCACAAGCGGUGGAGCAUGUGGUUUAAUUCGAUGCAACGCGAAGAACCUUACCAAGGCUUGACAUACUACAAAUUUCUUUGAAAAAGGAAAGUGCCUUCGGGAAUGUAGAUACAGGUGGUGCAUGGCUGUCGUCAGCUCGUGUCGUGAGAUGUUGGGUUAAGUCCCGCAACGAGCGCAACCCUUAUUUUUAGUUGCUAAUUUAGUUUAGGUUUUCUAGAAAGACUGCCGGUGACAAACCGGAGGAAGGUGAGGAUGACGUCAAGUCAGCAUGCCCCUUAUGCCUUGGGCUACACACGUGCUACAAUGGUUAAGACAAAGAGUUGCGAGCUCGUGAGAGUCAGCUAAUCUCAUAAACUUAGCCUAAGUUCGGAUUGUAGGCUGCAACUCGCCUUACG
rnacentral:rRNA from 1 species